GGGCUGGGGCUCAGUGGUAGAGCGCUCGCCUAGCAUAUGCGAGGACCUGGGUUUGAUCCUCAGCACCACA
rnacentral:tRNA from 1 species